GUGCUUCCUCCAUUACUGUGAUGCUGAAUCACCCAGCAUCAUUUCCUUGUGGCAGCGGUGAAAAAGUCGUGUGGAGGAAGACCUUCCCCAUAGAAGCAACUGUUGCUACAUGCCAAAAGCAGAAAUGCAUUAUUGAUGAAAGCUUUCGGGAAAGAUUUGCAGUCAAGCAUGAAAACAACUCUCUAUUUCUCAAGGCAGCUAAAUACAAUGACCUGGGGCAAUACGAGUGCAGCUGUGAUGGCUUAAUCAAGCAAAUUAAACUGGAUGUUGUAGUUCAUAUAAACGUGACAGUUGCUGAGUUGGGAAACGUCACUCUUCCGUGUUAUGCGGAUACUCAGAGCGGUGUCAGUGAUGUGACGUGGCUACAUUAUGAACAAAAAGCUCUGCACUACACUGCAGUAGGAGCCACAAUCCCAGGCCUGGGCUAUGAGGAAAGAGUAUCGCUGACAGAGGACGGAUACAGAGACGGUGAUGUGUCUCUGACCAUCACUGGUGUCCAUCAGACAGACGCAGGAUUAUACCGCUGCUUCGUUCGAGAUGAGACGGACAGAGGAUACCCACACGCCUACAUGCUGCAUGUUAUCGAGAAGCUCACCAGUGCAGGAGGAGACCAAACUGAGAGCACCAGCAACGAAAAACGAACUCGCCUUGGUCUGAUCUCAUCUUUCUCACUCUUUAUUUGUUUCUCACUCUUCAUUUGCUUUCGUCUUCUUCUUUUCUGCUGUAAGAAGAAGGCAUCACCCACAGUGGAAACUACAGAUACCAAGCCCGUACAGGAGAGUGACCAAAAGCAUUCAACUUGUCCUUUUUAUUCUGGAGAAGUGACCUAUGAACUGUAAAAACCUGAGAUUGAACGAUUACAGUCAUCCUAAUAAUUAAAACACUGACUCCAUUUAAACACAUGAACAUGAUUGUUAGAGUGUCAUUCAUGUUACUGGAAGCUGCCUGUUUAAAGAGGUCAUAUGAUGCGAUUUCAAAUUUUCCUUUCUCUUUGGAGUGUUACAAGCUCUUGGUGCAUAAAGAAGAUCUGUAAAGCUGCAAAGACUAAAGUCUCAAACCCAAAGAGAUAUUCUUUUAAAAGUUAACACUCGUCCACGCCCCCCUGAAACGGCUUGUUCUAACACGCCCCACAUCUCUACGUCAGUAUGUGUGAAGAUUUGCAUAACACGGGCCUAGAUGUUCACACAAAGAAAGAAGGUGUAGCUUUUAUUCUCGUUGUAGUAUUGUUGUUGCCGCCGCCGCCGCCAUGUCGUAUAGACGCUGUGUGUUUCAUGUGAAAGCAAAACUACUUCCAAAAGAGGACGAUAUCCGCUUCGUUAUGCCUGGAGCUGAUCCGUGCUGGUCGCUGAGGAUAUACAUCAACUUUGCACUGUGGAUCGCAGGAUCAGCUUUCACCAUGUACGAAGCGGCGUCCAGCCCAGGGUCAUCACAUGUGGUUGCUGCAAGACCAAGGUACGCUCCUUCGUAGAAUCUGCCUGCCGCACCGUUCUCAAGCCACCAGCCUCUGCUCACUCUAGACCUGCAGCCUCCGCUCACUCUAGACCUCCAGCCUCCGCUCACUCUAGACCUCCAGCCUCCGCUCACUCUAGAUCGCGGCUCACUCUAGACCUCCAGCCUCCGCUCACUCUAAACCGCGGCUCACUCUAGACCUCCAGCCUCCGCUCACUCUAGAUCGCGGCUCACUCUAGACCUCCAGC
ensembl:lncRNA